rnacentral:rRNA from 1 species
CUACGGGGUGCUGCAGUCGCGAAUCAUUUACAAUGCACGAAAGUGUGAUAAUGCGAGCCAAAGUGUUUUUCGUAUAGAAAAACUUUUUCUUACUGUAAAAAUGUAGGAGAAUAAGGACUGGGAAAGACCGGUGCCAGCCGCCGCGGUAAUACCGGCAGUUCAAGUCGCAUCCCUUUUUAUUGGGUCUAAAACAUCCGUAGCUUGUUUAUUAAGUCUCUUGUGAAAUCCCACGUCUCAAGCGUGGGGCUUGCAGGGGAUACUGGUAGACUAGAGAUCGGUAGACGUAAGGAGUACGCCGGAGGUAGUGGUAAAAUACGUUAAUCUUCGGUGGACUAACAAUCAGCGAAGGCACCUUACGAGGACGAAUCUGACAGUGAGGGAUGAAGGCCAGGGGCGCAAAACGGAUUAGAUACCCGGGUAGUC